rnacentral:lncRNA from 1 species
AAUCACAGAAAAAUAUCUUUUGUAGGGCUUGAACUACAAUAAACCAUUAAUGUGAUUGUAUGUAAUACUAUGCAAAAUGAUCUUAGAAAAAUAGUUACAAAAUUAUUCUAUAGACUAUAUGUUAAUUUCAUGAGUUUUCUAACAUUGGUAUCAUAGUAUUUUGGUUAAUUACACGUUUAAUUUUUUUCAAAUUUGCAUUUUUGUUGAAUAUUUUAGUAAUAAUA